rnacentral:rRNA from 1 species
CCUACGGGAGGCAGCAGUGAGGAAUAUUGGUCAAUGGCCGGAAGGCUGAACCAGCCAAGCCGCGUGAAGGACGAAGGUGUCAAGCAUUGUAACCUUCUUUUGUCAAGGGACAAAAUCAGGCUCGAGAGCCUGACCGAGGGUACUUGAAGAAAAAGCAUCGGCUAACUCGGUGCCCGCCGCCGCGGUAAUACGGAGGAUGCGAGGGUUCUCCGGUUUUUUGGGGUUAAAGGGGUGGGUAGGCGGACGGUUAAGUCAGCGGGAAAAGCCUGGGGCUCAACCCCGGCGAGCCGUUGAUACUGGCUGGCUUGAGAGGUCGAGGGGUAUGCGGAAUGCGCAGUGUAGCGGUGAAAUGCGUAGAUAUUGCGCAGAACUCCGAUGGCGAAGGCAGGAUACCGGCGGCGAUCUGACGCUGAGGCACGAAAGCGUGGGUAUCGAACAGGAUUAGAUACCCUUGUAGUC